UGGCGCACGGGUGCGUAACGCGUGGGAAUCUACCCUUGGGUUCGGAAUAACAGUUGGAAACGACUGCUAAUACCGGAUGAUGACGAAAGUCCAAAGAUUUAUCGCCCAGGGAUGAGCCCGCGUAGGAUUAGCUAGUUGGUGGGGUAAAGGCCUACCAAGGCUACGAUCCUUAGCUGGUCUGAGAGGAUGAUCAGCCACACUGGGACUGAGACACGGCCCAG
rnacentral:rRNA from 1 species